CGGGGCAUAGCGCAGCCCGGUUAGCGCGCCUGCUUUGGGAGCAGGAGGCCGCAGGUUCGAAUCCUGCUGCCCCGA
rnacentral:tRNA from 1 species